rnacentral:lncRNA from 1 species
GCUGGGAUUACAGGCAUGAGCCACCGCACCCAGCCAACAUUUAUAUAAAAUUUUAAAACAUACAAAGCAGUGUUAUAUAUUGUUUAGGAGUACAUGAACAUGUAGUACAUGUAGUAAACUCUGAAGAAUGCAUGAGAGCAAGAUAGGUUACUUCUGAGGGGCAGGCAUAUCUGUAGGCUUUCAGCUGUAUUGGUGAUGUUUAUUUUUGAAGUUGGGUGGUGGGUACACAGGAGUUCAUUGUAAUGUUCCUUUUUCUUCCCCCCUUAUGUCUUAAAUAUUGCAUAAUAAAACUUUUAAAAAGCUAUUAAAAAAGGAAAAGAAAACCACUUGGGAAGAUGUUCACCAGUCUGAUAAAUGAUUACCGUGUGUUGGUGAAGUAGGCUUGGGUGGAGUUCAUAGCCCCGGGAGAUUCUGAGAAAAUGUGCCCCUCGUAAAGUAUUUUUAAAUUAAGAGUUCGUAUGCGUCAACUCUCCACUGACAUUUGGAGGCCCUUGUUAGGGUUUAAGAGAAACAACAUGGAUUGGGAGCUCCAGUAGGUGGAAGGAAGCCCCUGAGAUGGUGUGACUGAUUCAUCACCACGUUCCAGGUUGUGAUUCUCAGCUUUGUAUUCAGUAGUGAUUAGUUUCUAGAGGACUGAAACUGGCUUAACAAAGUGUUUUGUAUAUAUACUAAUGAAUACACUAGAACACCAAUCAGUUGAUUUACAAUGAGACGUAUUAAAUGUUAGUCAACGCCAAGCUUGUAUUGUAUCAGAGUAGCUGGGUUUUUUUUUUCCCCAAAUUUACCUAUUUUCAGAGUUUUAAUAAGAUAUUCUACCAAAAAAGCCUGUUUAUUAGUGCAUAAUGUAAGUUGAUUAGGUUUAAUCAUUUUUAGGAACAUUUGUGAUCCAUUGAAACUCCUGAGGUCACACUUUUAAGAUUCUUAUAUGAAUUUUUGCUUUAGAUCUAGAAAGGGCUCUUCAUGACUUUGAAUUUUAGCUCAUGUAUUCCUGUUACUCCCAAAACUUUACAAACAUGAUUUUUUCAAGGUUUUUUUUUUUUUUUUUUAAGUUAUUAUAGCAGAACCUUCAUUUGGCUGAAACCCAUUAUGUUCCAUCUGGAGGCAGAAGAUUCUCUUGGUUUUAGAUUAGUUCUAGUUUUGUACUCAGUUAUCAGUUUGUGAGGUGAGGUACCUUGCCCUGUAUCCCAUUCAAGGCUGUAUUAUCAGUGUCAGUAAACAACUUCAUAAGAAUUUCUUGGGUUUACCAUCUAGCUUCAGUAUCAAAAUGAAUUUAUUAAUUAGUAGAGGCAAGAAUAGAGAGAGAACUUGAGUGUCCCCUGACUUUGUAACCUUUGACUCUUCCAGCUGUUGUCAGGAGAACAAAGGGGACAGCUUUUCUUAUGGUAAGGAGUCUUUCCAAAAUUGUUUUUAUGUUACUUUAUGUAAGAUAAACAAUCUUCAGAAUCCUUAGCUAUCCAUGAAUCUUACCAAUUAGAGGACUGCCUAUUGAUCAUUUACCAGUUUUUGAGUUGUCCUAAACCCAGGAGAGCACCAGGAGGCAAGCAAAUAAAGACUCCUGGUAGAUGAAAUGGACUGUCCUAAGUGCAUGUACAAAGCUCAUGUAUUUUGCUCGUAGCUGUCAUUCAGGGUCUCACUCAGACCCUUAUUUAGUUAAUUUUACGUAUAAUUCUAGCAAGUUCAGUAAAUUCGUAUUUCCAGCUGUCAGCUGAUAGGUAACAGGGACCUCCUAAAGUCAAGUGCCCUGACUGAUAGCAGCAAGAUGAGAAAGAAUCAUGAAAUCAUCAUCAAAAACUUAAAAAACACGGUGUGCGCCUCUCCUUGCCACCUGAAGUCCGAGUGUUUAACAGUGCUUAUGGGCACCUCUGGAGGUAAGGCGAGGCGCCUACUUACCAUGGAAGCAGCUCUAAAAGGGGAAUCUUUGAUGGAAGAUAAGAUGGAGGCAUCUUUUAAAGCCAGGUGGUUGUUACUUUCUGUGUGACUUAAUGAGCAGGUGAAUUUUGGCAAGUCCCAGGACACAAAGUGCGGUGGUGCUGUCUCACCUAGGUCCCUUCAUUGCCAACUUUUUAGGUUUCAUUAUGAUUAUAUCUCAGCACCUAGCACAGCGCCUGGCAAAUAGUGCUGCCGCACAUUUGUUGAAUAUACAUAUCAGUGUCUGCUUUGUGGCUUUUUGGCAUAGAGACUGAUGCCCCCAGGGGCACUGCUGUAUCUUAGCAUGGUUCUUCAGCUGGUCAUUCUGAGUGAUGCAGAAAAAAGAACAGGGUCUAAUCAUUUUAAAUUCCUCUAUUAUUAGACAACAUAAGAGGAAGAAUUAAUUAAUUGACUGGAAAAAUUCAACAUUUGGAGAAGAAAUGAUUGAUUUCUAUGUAUGUCUAUUUCAAAAUAAAUUCCAGGUGAAUUAAGGAUUUGUAUGUGAAUAAUUAAGAACAAAGUGAAUAUUCAUAUGAUCUUGACCUUUCUAAGAAAGAGUCAUAAGAAAAAGGGUAGUAGCUUUGAUUACAGUUCGUGGAUGUAGUACACAUAUUAUUCGAAACAAAAUUAUAAUGCAAACAAGUUGGGGCAAUAUUUGUAAUAUAGGAAAUGGUUACUAUUCUUAAGGUAGAAAGAGUUCUUACAAAUCAAUGACAAACUCCCCUAUAGACAAAUGAAAAGAAAAUUUAUUAAAGAAGUUAUGUAACUAGCCAGUAAAAGAAGAAAAAGUUUAACCUUGCAAAUAAUUAGAGUAUUCAGGACUUAGUAGAAAAGCUACAAUGAUAAAGACUGUAUUGGUAGGCCGGGUGCAGUGGCUCAUGCCUGUAAUCCGAGCACUUUGGGAGG